UUUGCUUAUAUUAUUAAUAUAUGAGAAUAUCUAUCAUUGAUUUAAGAUUAUUUUUUUCUGUGUGUAAUUCGCGAUCCUGGUAUUAUUUCACGCGUGUAAAAUGAAAUUGCAAUUAUACAGCGAGUCGUAAAAUUUCCCAACGAAGAUCUAAACCGCCGAGUUGGCGGCAUUUCUCAGAAACGUUAUUACGUACACUAAAAUACAAUUAUACAGCGGGUCGUAAAAUUUUCCAACGGAAAUCUGAACCUUGGCGACGUUCCCUUCCUGAGAAUUGUUAUUGGGUAUGUGUGUUUAGAAACGGAGGAAGAUUUUAAGAACGAACGAAGUUACCUAUUAACGAUUGCGAUUCGAGAUCCAUAUUAUUUCACAUGUGCAAAAUAAUUGCAAUUGUACAGCGGAUCACUAAAUAUCCCAACGAAAAUCUAAACCGCUGAGUUGGCGACUUCUCCUUCCUGAGAAUCGUUAUUACGUAAUCUCGAAUUUUAUAUUCGCGUGUGAUCUAUGAGACUGUGCAAUUAUGCUUUGAAGUGGCUGAGGAAAAAAAACCGACGGCAACAGGAAUGAAAGAGAGAGAGAGAGAGAGAGAGAGGCGACGGCACGUGUGCUCUUGACACUCGACUGAUUUUGCACUGAUAAACUAAAUACCACGUCGAGACAAAGACGCCACCGUUGCAAUAAAGGUUAAUUUAUCCGCAUUGCGUUACGGAGGACAAAGAAAUGUCGCUGAACACCUGGCAAACGCUCAUGAGAGUUCUUUCAAGCGAGGCCCCCGUGGACGUUCGGACGCAGCUCGGACAGAACAUUGAUCUUCGUCGUGAGUCAAGCGAGAUCAAUUACAGUCUCAUCGAUCGGUAUACGUUCGUUACAUCACCGAUGCGGAGAUGCGGAAUACGUCAUCGCGAAGUCAUCGCGGCUUCGCGAAGACGUAGAAGCCGUCCCAACGUUUCACGGAGCCCCGUUCGAGUGCUGAUAACGUCAGACGAUUAGGAUAAAAGUUCCCUAAUGAUAGCAGAAGCCAAUUUUUUUAAAAAAUUAUAAAAUGUAAGGUGAUUGAAAAUAGUACGAUAAUAUUUUUUGAAAAUUGUAAACAAGUAUUAAAAAAGUGUUAGCAUUCAUGUGGUAUAUAAUUUAUCAGACAUUAAACUUUUUUACAAUUAAAGAAUGUUUUCAAGCACUUAACUUUAAUUUUGUUCUUUCUCUAACUGAAUAUACUGAAUAUACGAAGCAUGCACACAAUGCAAAGAUUCGUGAACAAUAUUUUCUUCAUAUCUUAGUACAAUGUUGACAUUUUCUUACUCAAAAUAAGACUUCAUAUUUAAUUGUCCGAUAAAAUAUGUAUCCUAAUUAUUUUUCAUGAGGAAAAAUAGAUAUUGGCAAAAGAGUUCAA